CCAGCCUGGACAGCAGUUAAGACGGUGAUUCCUUUCCCUCAUGAAUCAGUGCGGGGCAGACGCCUAGGAAAAUGCGGCACGUGUACAACAGCGAAUUGCUAGAUGUUUAUUGCUCUCAAUGCUGCAAGAAAAUCAACCUGCUCAAUGACUUGGAAGCCCGACUGAAAAACCUGAAGGCCAACAGCCCCAACCGAAAGAUCUCCAGCACGGCCUUUGGACGGCAGCUCAUGCACAGCAGCAACUUCAGCAGCAGCAAUGGCAGCACCGAAGACCUGUUCCGGGACAGCAUUGACUCCUGCGACAAUGACAUCACAGAGAAGGUAAGCUUCCUGGAAAAGAAGGUGACAGAGCUGGAGAAUGACAGCCUGACCAACGGGGACCUGAAGAGCAAGCUGAAGCAAGAGAACACACAGCUGGUGCACAGGGUGCAUGAGCUGGAGGAGAUGGUGAAGGAUCAGGAGACCACAGCUGAGCAGGCACUGGAGGAGGAGGCGCGGCGCCACCGCGAGGCCUACAGCAAGCUGGAGAGGGAGAAGGCUACCGAGGUGGAGCUGCUCAAUGCCAGGGUGCAGCAGUUGGAGGAAGAAAAUACAGAGCUUAGAACAACAGUGACUCGG
rnacentral:sRNA from 1 species